GAUGAAGAACGUAGCGAAAUGCGAUAAGUAAUGUGAAUUGCAGAAUUCAGUGAAUCAUCGAAUCUUUGAACGCACCUUGCACCCUUUGGCAUUCCGAAGGGUAUGCUCGUUUGAGUGUCAUUGUACUCUCACACUCUCCGAUCCUAUGGAUUCGGGGAGCGGUGGACUUGGGUGUUGCUGCCUUUCCUUGUGGCUCACCUCAAAUGUGACAGUGCACCUCUUGGUUGGACAUAGUACGGCGUGAUAAGUGUCUUCGCCGGCACCUCGCAAGAGGGUGGCCGAUCGGGAGCUCUGUGCUUUCAAACCGUCUUCGGACAAUUUCUGACAACUUGACCUCAAAUCGAGUAGGACUACCCGCUGAACUUAAGCAUAUCAAUAAGCGGAGGA
rnacentral:misc_RNA from 1 species